CUUCGGGGGGCCGGUAGAGUGGCGAACGGGUGAGUAAUGCAUGGGUAACGUACCCCUGGCUCGGGGAUAGCGGCGGGAAACUGCCGGUAAUACCCGAUGAGACCACAGUGUCAUAUGGCACAGUGAUCAAAGGUGGGGACCCCUUCGGGGGCCUUCCGGCCAGGGACCGACCCAUGUCCCAUCAGCUUGUUGGUGAGGUAACGGCUCACCAAGGCUACGACGGGUAGCGGGACUGAGAGGUUGACCCGCCACACUGGGACUGAGACACUGCCCAGACCCCUACGGGGGGCUGCAGUCGAGAAUCUUAGCCUAAUGCGCGCAAGCGUGAGCUAGCGACGCCGCGUGUGGGAAUAAGGCCUUCGGGUUGUAAACCACUGUCAGGGACUACCAAGCGAAGGAGGUUAAUAGCCUCCGGAGUUGAGGAAUCCCAGAGGAAGCCACGGCUAACUUCGUGCCAGCAGCCGCGGUAAGACGAAGGUGGCGAGCGUUGUUCGGAAUUACUGGGCUUAAAGAGCACGUAGGCGGACGGUCAAGCGUCUAGUGAAAGCCCUCGGCUCAACCGAGGAAUGGCUAGGCGAACUGGUCGUCUUGAGGCAAGUAGGGGCGCGUGGAACUCUUGGUGGAGCAGUGGAAUGCGUAGAUAUCAAGAGGAACGCCGGUGGCGAAGGCGACGCGCUGGGCUUGUCCUGACGCUGAGGUGCGAAAGCCAGGGGAGCGAACGGGAUUAGAUACCCCGGUAGUCCUGGCCCUAAACGAUGUCCACUAGGUCGGAGGUUCUCUGACGGGCUUCCGGCCAAAGCGAAAGUAUUAAGUGGACCGCCUGGGGAGUACGGUCGCAAGGCUAAAACUCAAAGGAAUUGACGGGGCCUCACACAAGCGGUGGAGCAUGUUGCUUAAUUCGAUUCAACGCGAAGAACCUUAUCCUGGGCUUGACAUGGCCGAAUACUCAUCUGGAAACAGAGUAGGUUGCCCUUCGGGGUGAAACGGUCACAGGUGCUGCAUGGCUGUCGUCAGCUCGUGUCGUGAGAUGUUGGGUUAAGUCCCGUAACGAGCGAAACCCUUGUCGUUAGUUGCCAGCGGGUAAUGCCGGGGACUCUAGCGAGACUGCCGGUGUUAAACCGGAGGAAGGUGGGGAUGACGUCAAGUCCUCAUGGCCUUUAUGCCCAGGGCCGCAAACGUGCUACAAUGGCCGGCACAAACCGACGCAAGACCGCGAGGUGGAGCAAAUCGGAAAAAGCCGGCCCCAGUUCGGAUUGCAGUCUGCAACUCGACUGCAUGAAGUUGGAAUCGCUAGUAAUCGUAGAUCAGCUACGCUACGGUGAAUGUGUUCCUGAGGCUUGUACACACCG
rnacentral:rRNA from 1 species